rnacentral:sRNA from 21 species
UUGACAGCGUCGCUUUUUUGACCUAAAUUUCUCGGUGAAGGGUGAGGGAGGCGAACCUCCCUCCUGCGUACUCACUGUUAAUAUGCUGGGCAAGCGAUGAUUAACAGGAUCAGCAGCAUGAUGACGUAUCUCAUCAUCGUCCCUUUCCUUUUU